rnacentral:tRNA from 1 species
GCGGGCAUGGUGAAAUUGGUAGACACGCCAGAUUUAGGUUCUGGUGCCUCAAGGCGUGGGGGUUCAAGUCCCUCCACCCGCACCA